GACGAACGCUGGCGGCGUGCUUAACACAUGCAAGUCAAGGGGGCCCAGCAAUGGGCAACCGGCGAACGGGUGCGUAACACGUGAGCAACCUACCGAAAUGUGGGGGAUAGCCGGCCUAACGGCCGAGUAAUACCGCAUACGCUUUCCGAGAGGCAUUUCUUGGAAAGGAAACCUACGGGACAUUUCGAGGGGCUCGCGGCCUAUCAGCUAGUUGGCGAGGUAACGGCUCACCAAGGCAACGACGGGUAGCUGGUCUGAGAGGAUGGCCAGCCACAUUGGGACUGAGAUACGGCCCAGACUCCUACGGGAGGCAGCAGUGGGGAAUCUUGCGCAAUGCGCGAAAGCGUGACGCAGCAACGCCGCGUGGGGAA
rnacentral:rRNA from 1 species